rnacentral:rRNA from 1 species
UGCUCUCAACCAUCCAUCUCACCCUAUGUGCACCACCGCGUGGGUUCUCUUUUGGCUCGUCCCGAAGGGGGCUCGCGUUUUCACACAAACUCGAUACAGUGUAGAAUGUCUCUUUGCGAUAACACGCAAUUAAUACAACUUUCAACAACGGAUCUCUUGGCUCUCGCAUCGAUGAAGAACGCAGCGAAAUGCGAUACGUAAUGUGAAUUGCAGAAUUCAGUGAAUCAUCGAAUCUUUGAACGCACCUUGCGCCCCUUGGCAUUCCGAGGGGCACACCCGUUUGAGUGUCGUGAAAUUCUCAAAAACCUUUCUUUUAUGAAAGGGUUUUGGACUUGGAGGCUUUUUGCUGGCUUCACCUCGAAGAUAGCUCCUCCUAAAUGAAUAAGUGGGGUCUGCUUUGCCGAUCCUCGACGUGAUAAGAUGUUACUACGUCUCGGGUUUGGCGAUGGCACCCGCUUCUAAUCGUCUCAUUGACAAUGAUGGCGUUCCGGUCACCACCGUUUCAUCGGUCGGGAGGCUUGACCCACCAAAAAAACCUUGACCUCAAAUCGGGUGAGACUACCCGCUGAACUUAAGCAUAUCAAUAAGCGG